rnacentral:rRNA from 1 species
CACGCCGUAAACGAUGAGUACUAGGUGUAGGGGGUAUCGACCCCCCCUGUGCCGCAGUAAACACAAUAAGUACUCCGCCUGGGAAGUACGAUCGCAAGAUUAAAACUCAAAGGAAUUGACGGGGACCCGCACAAGCAGCGGAGCAUGUGGUUUAAUUCGAAGCAACGCGAAGAACCUUACCAGGUCUUGACAUCUAUCGAAACCCUAAGAGAUUAGGGCGUGCCCUUCGGGGAACGGUAAGACAGGUGG